rnacentral:lncRNA from 1 species
AUGCACCCUGCCCCGGGCUGCCUCCCGCCUCCUCCUCUGCAGCUCUCUGCACUCUCACAAGGAAACAACAGCCACGACCAGAAACGAAAAAAAACAAGCAACGAUGGACAACUACAUGGGGAACAAGACACUCACCCCCCAGCAAUGCAUACCACUUACAAACUCUAUUCUAGAGUCUACAUUAUUUUUUAUGGAAUUUACCUCUUAUAUUUUGAUGCCAAAAAUUUUUCUGGACUGAUAUUUUGCACUGUUUAGCUCAUUUUACACCGCUGACUGUGUUCAUGUGCAAUAAAAUAGAUUGCAGUCAACUGCACAAUUCUCUUAUGUUUUUCUUUUUCUUAACUGAAAUGUAUUCAUCACUUGUAUAGUAAACAAUAACAAACCGAUUAAUCGAUUAAUCGAAAAAAAUAAUCAACAGAUUAAUCGAUUAUGAAAAUAAUCAUUAGUUGCAGCCCUACUUCUAAUCUUAGCAAAUUCCGAAGGUGGAAAAAGGAAAUCCUACAAACUUGUGAAACCUGGGAUUUGAAUGACAUGUCCUGGUCAAAGAUAACACCAAGGUUCCUUACUUUGUUCUCGGAGAUUAAUGUAAUGACAUUCAGGUCAGGCGACUGGCUAAGCAAUUUCUUUUUCUGGAUUUCUGGUCCAAAGAUGAGAACUUCCGUCUUGUCUUGAUUUAAAAGCAAAAAGUUUAGAGUCAUCCAAUGUUUUAUGUCCUCAAGACAAGCCUGUAAUCUACCCAACCGAUUAGGUUCAUCAGGGUUAAUGGAUAAAUAUAAAUGGAAGUUUAUCCCAUGCUGUCAAAUGAUUUUACCAACUGGAAGCAUAUAUAUAGUAAAACUGGUGCAUGAACACCUGUUUCAAACUAGUAGCACAGCAUAGGUUUGGUGGCAUAACUGAAGCGUUAGCCCUUGUGUCUCAGCCCCUCCGCUGUGAAGACACUCCGGGGUAAAGACAUACGUGUCUACCUGUGCGUGUACACAGAGCAGGUACACAGAGCAAACAAACUCGACCCAGACGCUGCUCCAUCAACACCUAGCAAGAUGUGCCAUUAUCCUAUACCUGUGAUCACUGGCUUCAGAGGAAAGUCACACAAAGCAAACCGCUUUCGCAACCUUCAAAACCUCUGCUCUCUAAAACCAACUCCCCCGAAGACAUCCACCUGUCUAUGGGAAUUUGGAACUGCCAAUCAGCUGUAAACAAAGCAGACUUCAUUACCGCAUAUGCAAACCACCUGUCACUCGAAGUACUAGCUCUCACUGACUAUGUUUACAUGCAGCCAAUAUCCGGUUUAUGAUCGGGUUAAGGUCGGUAUUCGGGUUUCUGAGUUGAUCCGAAUAACCCGUUUACAAGCAUAAAUAGAAAGAGUUACCCCUAACUUGCAUAACCCGAUUUAAACGCGGACG